rnacentral:rRNA from 1 species
UACGUAGGGUGCAAGCGUUGUCCGGAAUUAUUGGGCGUAAAGAGCUCGUAGGCGGUUUGUCGCGUCGGCUGUGAAAACUCGGGGCUCAACCCCGAGCCUGCAGUCGAUACGGGCAGACUAGAGUGCGGUAGGGGAGACUGGAAUUCCUGGUGUAGCGGUGAAAUGCGCAGAUAUCAGGAGGAACACCGGUGGCGAAGGCGGGUCUCUGGGCAACAACUGACGCUGAGGAGCGAAAGCGUGGGGAGCGAACAGG